UUUAAAUAUACAAAAUGCCCUGAUUUUCCUUAAUGACCCCGCCCACUCUCCUUUACUCACUAAAAUGCUCCUACACCAAUAUACCGUAGAGACCCCACCAAUAUUUUAUCUCCUUAUAGAUAUAUUCCUGCACCUAUUGAAAUAUUUCCACACAAUAUAUAUGCACACACUUAUAAAUAAACCUCAACUUACCCAGGCACCAUCACACGCCCCUAAAAGAUGCACAAGCAUCAUUUACACAUCUUACACCCUUAUUUUUUUCUCUUGCUUUGAACAAUCGAGAACAAUAACGUUCGGUGAUAAGCAAAACCAGCCCCAAAACGACCUCCAAUCUCAACCAAAAUGACUCCAAAUUUUUCUUAAGAUGACAACUCCGUUGGUUUUCCUCUUUUUUUAUCCAAUUUGUACAUGAUUAACGAGCUGUCUGAUUCUAAAAAAUCUAAAAACCUCCAGGUGUCUCUCUCAACGUUCUAAUCUCACGAUUCAUGGCGAAUUCAUCUAACAAUCGUUCAAUAUGUACGCAGCGUGGAUCGUUGAACGAUUAUUCCUAUUUGAAUUUUGAAAUUUCCCCCAAAAAUAUUAUCCCAAUUUCUAACCAUUUCCCCCUCUUUUCAUCUAUUAAUACCUCUUUUCCCUCACUAAAAGAGGUUGAAUUUCUUUGGAGAAAAUUGAAGAUUUUGGAGGAGCUCUAAUAUCACGUAAUCAAGAAAUUCAUCAUGAAACCUACUCAAAUCUGUUGAAAUCAUUCAAUUCCAGCAAAAAAACAUCUGAAUAUCGGCGCUAAACAAUUCAUUAGGAUUUAACAAAAUUAUUCUUUAGCUCGUAGUCUCAGUUUGUUGCUCCAAAAAAGAUUAGAUUGGAAUCUUCACUCCCCUUCCUGAAGAUCAUUCGCCGAGUCCAUUUGGACUCCCGUCUCCUUGAAUUUUCCUACUGGUCUCAAGAGGUCCAAAUUCUCGAGUCAAGGAACUGACUAAUAUACAGCUGAUUAUACAGGACUGAGAUUGAUAUACAACGAUAAAUAGGUGAAGAAGCAGGAAGUAUACAGGCCUGCAGCUGAUAUACUAUGAUAUACAAUCAUAGACGAGCCGAUAUACAAAGUAUAUACACCCAAAAAAAGCUUUUGAUAUAUUAACUGAUAUACAUCGGGAAAAUGGGCUGAAAGUCCAUGAAACUCAGGGUCCAAGAUCUGGACAGUGAAAUGGGCUGAAAGUCACAAUCUCUAUCUUUUUCUUUGUUUGUAAUUAUUUAAUUCAUUUGCUUAUAUGACCAAUUUAACUAAUCUCAAUAAAUUUUCUAAGAUGUUGCCAUUUUUA